rnacentral:lncRNA from 1 species
GCAAAUUUUAGCAAAUUAAUUAGAAUUAGGAGAUGGAGAGCAGGAUAAAGGGAGAGCAGGAUAAAGGGGCAAAAGCAAAAAAACAUAAACAAAAUGCUGCAAGAAGCAAAUUAAUUAGAAUUAGGAGAUGGAGAGCAGGAUAAAGGGGCAAAAGCAAAAAAACAUAAACAAAAUGCUGCAAGAAAGAAGCAUACAGAUUCUCAUAGUUACAGUCAGCUGUACCGUUGAAGAUGCUGGACUGAAGGCUAAAGUUUGAAGACAUAUAGUUUAAACGGAAGGAAGAUAUUUUACAAGACAAUAGCAAGAUUUCUCCAAAGUGUUUUAUAAAAGACACGAUAAGCCAGGGGCAAUCCAACACAUUGACGGAGAACAGGAACUAAGUAUUCCAGUAUUACAAUGCGGCAUGAAAAGCUACCUAUUGUAUGAACGUACUGCAACUUCAGCUAUUCAGGAUUUAACUGGAGAGAGGUCACAUAAAAGAAUAGAUCAGAGAGACUCCCAUUUGUCUAGCAAUCAAAGCAUAGGUAGGGACAGAACUGUCUUAUAGUUCACAAUUAUUUCGAUUUGCAUCAUAUCAACAAGAACAUCUUCUUCGGCUAAACAGAUUCCACAUAACCACUACAGUCGACACAGCCUGAUUCCUGCUAGAUUAAAACAACAAAAAUUAGGGUUUUCAAGCUCUUGAGGAUACUUACAGGCCACGUGUUUAGAAUAAAGGCCACAUGCUACCAUUUCACUGACGAUCACCAUUAAUAAAUCAACUUCAAGGAUUUAACAAUAUGUCAAAUUUUGUUGUACAGGAAAGUUUGGCCAUCUUUUAAAUUACUUUUACAGUGUAAAGGUUCUUUUAUUGUGGGAAAACUUCUAGUAUGACAGACUUCAAAGAUUGCUUAUCCCCCCAGGCCCCCUUCUAACCAGUGUCUACAAAAUCUCAAACAAAAUCUUCAGAAUUUUCAUCAUCUGAGUCAUGUAACUCAACAAGGAGAUUCAAUUUGUGGUAUAAGGAGUAAUGAUUUCCUUACCGUGAAGUUCAUUUCUUGAUAAUGGUCAGCUAAGGCACACCCCUCUCCUAACUUGUCAAACUUGAAUGUGGUACUAUUUAGUAUACGAGUACCUUUUUUGAAAAAAGAGGAGGAUAGCUGUCCUAAACUUUCUACCAAGAUAACAUUUGGUGUUAAUCUGCAACUUAUCUUCUUACUUCUACACAGUCCCUCUUGUCUUUAUUAAGCAGAUAAUGACAUUCAUGGAUAGCACUAGGUUCUAGGUACCACUGCUUCACUCAAGGUAUCCAACUCUAUAACCUGUCUUUGUCAUGCCAUCUGUUCAGUAUCUGGAGAUCAGUCUCUAAUCCUUCUUUGCAAUUGCAGAAGGAAAAAAUAGAAGUCAGACGCUAUGCUUCAUGUCUUCAAGAUGCUGCAAAGGAAUAAAAAUUCCCAUUAAAAAAUAGUUCGUUCUUCACAUAUCAGUAUUACAGGAAUUAUGCAGUUCAGGCACAUAGGAAAACGAAAUGUGAUGAGAAGUGAAACAGGAGAAACAUUGGGCCUUCCUGUGUUCAGAAAUCACACACCCUGAGAUACUGAUACUACUGUGAAACUGAAGCAGUGUAGAUUAGUCUACCUUUCAGGGGAUUUUCAUGUGACAGAGAGCCAUAUCAGUUCAGGUGCAGCAAGGAACUUUGGAUAUGGUAUUGGAAGGUAAUUUCUCGUAAGAUUGACCACAGAAGCAGAACUUGACUCCUUUUAUUAAUAAGACUGCAUAGGUCAACAUAAUUUAGGACAUAAUUAAGCAUUCUGCUGAGGGGUUAAUACUGCCAUCAUGACAUAUUGCACUCAUGCUCAUAGCACACACUUCCUACAGUACACAAAAUCCAAGAACAGAAGAUCUCAUCUAGAGUUGUGUUAUAAUCUCCAACUGGGGCACGUCUAAUUUCUUACUUGUACAAGAAAAACAAAUGUUGCCCAUAUGUCAUGAACCUAAUUAGUGUGACAAAAGGGAUUAAAAAAUAGUUAUCCAUUCAUAUUAUCAUGAACUUUUUAAAAACAAGUCAAAUAUGGAUAAGAACCAUAUUAUCCACUUAGAAAAUGAAUAACCAAUGGAUAACUAAUGAGUUUAACUUUUACAUUUGUAAAGAUUCAAAUUGAGGGUUCCUCAAGUUUGGGAGACUAGGAAUUCUCCCAAAAAUGAUCAUAUUCAAGAAGCCAUGGAUAAUAUAGAUAUCCACAUUAUCCACCGAUUAACUCAUUUUCUAUCCGUAUUAAAUAUGAGUUAGGUCAGGUAAUUUAUCCAUUUUUGCAUUCCCGUUUUCGACCUGCCCAUAUCCUAUCCGACCCGCCCGUUUGCCACCCCUAAACCUAAGCAAUACAUAUUAUGCAAAGACAUGAACAUAAGAACCAAGGAUAUGGCUAUAACAUUGAAGAACUAUAACCAGAUAAACCGUCCGCCUACAAACCAAUUUUCAUCACAUGCCAUACUAUCACUCUACAAAAAUGAAGCAAACUGAAAAUGACCAACAACUAAAGAGCCUAAAUAAUAAUCUGACGGAUAUCCUUCCUCCCCAACAUGAAUCUAAACGACACUAACUUAUGUAUUAUUCUUAACAAAAGCCACUAAUAGUUGCCUAAAUGUCAUGAAACCUCAAAUAGAAGCCUCAGCUACCAUAGAGAGGGACAAUGGUAUCCAUGGUUCAGUUUUGCCACCGCAAAGAGACCCAAUAUCUCUGUUCAAUCCCACUCUAGAUGAUUUCUUCCAUAUGCAGAUAAGCUCUUCACUUAUCUCACACACACACACACAUAUAUAUAUAUACCUUUUGCUUACCUUUUGUCAAAAGUGCUAAUGCUAAACUUCACGUUAUCAAGCAUUGCCAACUAUUAUAACAUGGGUGGGAUGAGAUGUAGCCUCUCUCCACAUAAUCCCACCUUCAACAUAUAGGAGCGGUCGUCUACCAUUAGCUUCCUUGCAUGUAAAAUAUCUCUUUCUGGUAUAAAAUUAAGCAUGUAAAUUCUACUUAGAUAUUGGUGCAACCUAGGGAGAACCACACCCCAAAAGCUAGCUAUUGAGGGGGGAGAGCCCAAGGCUAUAUAAAUCCCACAUCAGCACUUGUAGUACCGAUGUGAGACUCAAGUCUCAUUCCUUGCAAUAGACCACAAAUAUCAACAAAUAAAAAUGUAGCUGGAAAAAUAAAAUAACAAGUCUUCUUCUUCUUAGAUAUGCAUAGACGAAGAGUGAUUACCAUUACUUUAUGCUGGUCUAGGUCGGACUCAACAUAACCAAUAAAAACCGUCAAUAACAUUAGGCAUCAAAUCUUUUCUUCUUCUUUCACAUAUUUCACUUUGAUAGUAAAAGGUACAACAGAAGAUGGUAAAUGAAGGAACAAACUCUUCCUAUGAACUAAAAACUGUAUACAAAGAGGGGAAAAUCAGUCUCUUGUGCACCUAUUAGAUGGUGGAGUCCUAUUUCAUCUAUUCAGUAGGAUUAUCUCUCAGUCAAUUAAGCUAGAUCCAGUUGUAAAAAUCCCACAUAAGGUGCAAAGCAUAGAAGGAAGUUACAAACAAAUUAUAGCACAAUUAGGACCGAGGUUUGAAUAACAUAUGAUAGUAUAGCAUAGAGUAACUAUGCAGCUACUGUAAUUACUCAUUUACCAAACAGAAGGUUGAAUUCGCAUCCUCCAUGAUGUACCACACACCAGAGUUUAUGGCCAGCAACUUCAAGGCUACCAAAACAACUAUAACUUAUAUUUCUAUGGCUGAUGGCAUAUUGUGGAGCAAAAUUUUUGAAGGUAGAAAGCAACAAAGAUUAAAGAGAUGCCUUGUGGCUAUCUCUUUUACUUUAAAACUUUGAAUCCCCUUUGAAAUGUCAUCCAAACCCAUUGGUUUGAAGAAUUCAUCACAAGUUUGUAGGAGUAAUAUGCCACAAAAUAUCAAGAGGAGCUGUUAAUUAACAUCACUUAAGCCACUCUACAGUAUAUCCAUAUCAAGGCAUUGUAUUGAUCAGGGCAACCAGUCAAUAGUAGGGUCCAUGCUAAAUUCGUAUGAGAUGCAUCAAAUUGUUAGUGCUAUACAAAAGAAGUCAUGUAGCUAAAUCUACAAUAUGUCUUCCACAAAAAUGACAAAAAUUGAAUUCAACCUGGCUUGGUUGCAUGGUCAACACCUUUGAUGUGUCCUAGUCAUGUUAAGACUCAAAUCCUCUUCUAUUCCUACAUGUCGACCUUUGUACCAAAAGUAGAAAUCUCAUCCCCCCCCCCCCCCCUUUCCCGACCUAAUUGAAAACAACAAUGAAAUUUUAUGGUAACACCCAUUUUCAUCAAGGUGAGGAGAUACAGAAGAAAACGGUCAAAGAGUCAUUCUAGAAAGCAGAUGAUUCACAGACACAACAACAAUGUUCUCUUUGUCAGUGUAUUUUUGAAUCUCUAAUGUUUGAGACUUGAAUCCCCUUCAAUUCCCAAAUGUCGAACUUUGCACCUAAACCAAAUAACUUCUAAAAUCCUAAUUUGAACUAGCGCAAAAAUUGACAGCAUGCCUACGAAGUCUUUUUUAAGAUAUAAUUGUCUCUAAGCCAAAGUAGAUCAAUAAGGUUUCAUAUGCUACGUCCUCUAAUCACAUUUGAUGUCCAGAUUCUUCUAUUGAAAAAAUUUACCUCGUAAAAAAAAUUAACUACAAGAAGUGUCUCCGCAUUUAACACUAAUUCAAGUUCUUCCUUUUCCCUUUUCAUCUUAUAAAAGUGAAGUGACAUUCAUAAGGAGUACCAAACACAUCAUUUCCAACAACUACAAAGGCAUAGUAGGAUUGAAAAGGAAACAACAAACAAUGUACUAAGACUGACUCAAGCAGGGUAUACAAGGAUUCUUAACCAAAUCUCCAAUCCUUGGGAUAACACAAAGGAAAUGAUAUUUUUAUUUAUGUUAGCUAGUGAAAUAGAGGGGAGAGAAACCAUAAGCUAGUGUAUUUCAUUUUUCCUUCUUUUUUCGUCAUUGACAGGAUGCAACCUCAAGAAAGUAACCCUAGCUCAUUUUGUUUUUCCCCUAAUUUAAAAGGGCUCAUAAAUUAAAGAUACACAAUCUUGAGGGUAUACAUGGAUCUAAUUCUUGGACUGCAAGGAAGGAACGUCUAUACAUUAAUCUAAAUAGAACCUAGCAUGCAGCAACAUCCAUUAAUUUCUCCUAUGAUAAUCCAAAAUGCGGAGCAGAGUGUUGACCGGUCAAGAACUCACACGUUCAGAAGAUGCAAGUAGCGAAAAUGAAGAUGCUUGGAAGGAUGUGUGAGCAUAUAAGGAGAGAUAAGAUUAGGAAAGAAGAUAUACGGAGCAAGGUGAGAGUGGCCCUCACGGUGGACAAGAUGCGGGAAGCGAGAUUGAGAUGGUUCGGGCAUGUGAAAAGCACGAGCACAGAUACCCUAAUGAGGAGGUGCGAAAGGUUGGCAGUGAUAGGUCUUAAGAGAGGUAGAGGUAGACCGAUGAAAAACUGGGGAGAGAUGAUUAGACAGGACAUGACACAUCUUCAGCCCACCGAAGACAUAACCCUAGAUAAGAGAGCUUGGAGGCCGAGGAUUAGAGUAGAAGAUUAGUAGGUAGUCAAGCGAUUUCUCUCUUUUUUACGGGAGAGCAGUGGUUCUAGUUUAGAGCACCCUCUUCUCUUUAUCAGUAUUAUUAUUAUUAUCCUAGUAUUAUUAUCUUAUUCUUCAAUUUUAUACAACUGUUUUUUUUUACUUUGAUUAACUUUCCUAUUUUGCUGGCAAUACUUUUCUUUUCUUCAGUAUUUUUAUCAUAGCUUUUUUACUUUUGUAUUUUUCAAACCUGUUUUGAAAAUUCUUUUCUUGAGCCAAGGGUGUAUCGAAAGUAACCUAUAUACCUCACACAAGGUAGGGGUAAGGUCUUCGUACACCCUAUACUCUCCAAACCCCACACGUGAGAUCACACUGUUCAUGUUGUUCUUGUUCUUGAUAAUCCAAAAUGUAAGAAAUAUGUUUUCUUCUUAGCAGUUUUGGCAAAGAGAAGCAGCAAUGCUGAGGCAACAACUUCAAAACUUGCAAGAGAAUCAUCGGUAAACUUUCUUGUUCUUUAUCACAUAUAUUUCUUCUUUCUGCUAAUAACUUAGAAUAAAAAUAAGAAUGUUUUUGCGUGUUAAGCAAUUCAGGUAUUUUCUUAAAUUGAGUUCAUGUUAGUCCAAUGCAGCUUUUGAGAUGUUUAAGCAAAAUUAUAUCAGGAGAAAGUACCCAGUAAUUUUCAUUGAGUUCCGUACCAUAGGAGUCAAAUUGUUUCACAAGUGGAAAUUUUUGUUCUUAGAAUUGUUUUAUUAUUUAGGUGCUUAAAUCUACUUUGUCUGCUAUUUAAGUUAUACAAGGAGCUUAUAUAGUGACUGAGCUACAACGGAAGAGUAGAGAGACACGAGUAAUGUGCAAAGUGGUCUGUAAAAGACAAAUGACUUCUGGACUUCGUUACAGAGAAGAAGGGAUGGGAGAGAUGAUAACAAUGAUCCACUUUCUGAUACCCAUUAUCAAGUUCUCAGUCUAGUAAAUGGAAUCCCAAAGGUUUCUUUGGAAGCUCAAGAGGUCUAUGACAAAGUGAUCACCUUACCAACAACAACAACAACAACAAAAAACCCAGUUUGAUCCCAUAAUUGGGGUUUGGGGAGGGUAGUGUGUACACAGACCUUACCCCUAUCUCAUAGAGAUAGAGAGACUGUUUUCGAUAGACCCUCGGCUCAAGAAACAAUGAAAAUAAAGCACCAAGUAGCAAAGAAUGUUAGCACCAGUGAUCACCUUACCAAAGUAGUCAAAAGCAAAAAGUGCUAAAGCUCGUUGGGCUUUAAGAUUAAAGUGCAAUCCAAGUAUGGGCUUUAACGAAAAAAAAGAGCUAAUGAAAAAAAUGUAAAGCAGUGUAACUACAAAAAAAAGUUCUUUGGACAAAAGAAUGGAAUUAGGCUAUAUAUAUGAAGUAAAAGUCAUGUAAAGUAAGUUCAGAAACAAUUUUAAACUUCUUAUUUAGAUGAAAAACAUAGUUUAUAUUUUUAAUGGCUAGUUUUCUUAUAUUUAACUUCUAAUUUCAUUUUUCCAUUUUUUUGACAACCGUGGUGUCCGGGCCAGCUUGCGCGCACCUCGACUAAUUCCACGGAAUACCUAUCACCUCCCACCGGCAACAGAUAUCAGGUAACUCUGUCCACCAAGGUUAGAACAGAUGAGAAGAAAUCACUUAGUGUUUUGUCUCUGUUGGAGAUUGAACCUGAGACCUCAUAGUGCUUAAAUCACUUCAUUGACCACUAGGUCACACCCUUAGGUGCAACUUCUAAUUUCUUAGUGCUAAUCACUAAAAGUUCAGUCAUAUGGCUUUUUUAACAAUUAAUAUAUCAUUUUGUCAACUCUAUUUAUUGUCUAGUGCUAUGCUCUUAAAGACUGAGCUCAUAGGUGAAGAAGAACAUAUUAUAGCACCUUAGCACCUACACUAAAGUGCCAACCAUGGGAGGUGACUCCCACAACUUGGUUUCACUGAGCUUCAAGACUUAAGUGUGCCUUAAGCGAGACUUUAACAACCCUACACCUGACAUUGUUCUUACUGAUCAUUGAAAUAUUCAACAAGAAGAUGGAGAGUAAGGACAAGGGGUUAUUUAUGGGGCUUCACAGUUUGUAGGGUAGGAAAGAUAGUUUACAGGUGUAUUAUCUACUAUAUCUUACUAUAUGCAGAUGAUAUGUUUGUGUUAUUACCGAGGCAAAUCCACUCUACUGUUGUGGUCUCAGGGAACUCUAAGAUUGAUGAAGUGAAGAGCAUUAAAUAGCUGGUGGACAUCCAUAGUUGCAGUAUGGGUCCCAUCAUAAGAUGACUUACCAAUACUACCGCUGGGUGCGACUUUCAAGGAUUGCCAAAGAAAAAAACUGAUGGCCGAGAGAGUCAAAAAGAGACUAACAGGCUGUUAGAAGAAAUACUUCUUGAAAAUGUGAGAUAGAGACAGCGAUCAAGAGAAAUUUGCUUAAUCUGCCAACUUACUAUGUAUCCAUAUUGUUUAUACCAGUACGAUUUACAAAGAUUGUGCAAUAUGAAAGACAAAGUUGAGAACCAAAAAGAAACUAAAAGGACGGUAGAAGUAAUACUUAAAAGGGAGAGAGACAUUGAUCAAAGAGUAAUUUUUCGUAUCUGUCAACUUACUAUGUACCAGGAAUCAUGGCAAAAGAUUGAAAAGUGUGAACGAAUCUUUUAUGGGACACGAUAGGGAGGUGGAAUGUUCAUAGAACUCAACUAGGGAAGUUGAUUAAGGGGUUUCGCAUGGAAAUCAACCAUUGUGGAGAGCGAUCAUAGUUAAAAAGUAUGUAGAUCAAGUGGGAUAGUUAGGACCAAUCAGAUUAUCCAUGCUAUAUGGAGCAACUCUAUGGAGGAUAUAGUGAAAAUGUGGACAGAUUCUAUGAAAGUGUCAAAUUUAGGACGGAGGUACUGAAACCCGAAUCAAUUUCUGGAAAUAGAGACGAUGUAGUCAUAUUCUUUUGUAUUAAGUUUUCUGAUAAUAUUCAAUACUUUCAGCUAGCAGACACUAACACUCGUCCCAAUUAUAAAGAACGAGGAGAAUCCUAUAGAAACUACAUUUGAGUGAAGGAUUGGGAGAUGAAGCAGCUUAAUAGUUUGCUUACAUUACCGCACAAGCAAAAAUAUCAUUUAUGGACAAAGGCAGCUGGAAACGGGAAAGGCCAGAAAGAUGUUGUACUCAUAGUGAAAUCAUUUUAUAAUGGACUGCUAAAGACAAGGUAACUUCCCUCACUAAUAUGGUGCUUUUUACACCGAUAGUAACACAAGAAGCUAUCCUAACAACAAAGAAUUUGAGAGGAAAAUGGACAAUCCCUGUCACUUCGGUAUUUACACAAGGGAUGUACUGUUUUUAGAGAAUGUAUGGUAUCUCAAUCAGUAUUGAUGACCGAAUGCUCUUUGUAGGGAUUUGGAUACAUAUGGGAAUCAGCCCAUAAUAUCAGUAUAUUAUUGAAUUCAUCAACAAAGUAACUAGGCUAAAUGAAUUAUUUCCUCCAUUACUCUACUUAAAAUAUUAAACACUGAUCUUUUGGAUUGAGAAAAGGGAAAGGAGAAGAAUGGAGAUGAUGUAGAGAAAAGGAAAGAAAAGGAAAGCAGAGUGUUACUUUUCUGUCUUCAAAUUGAUGGAGUAAGGAAAUAUAAAAGAAUGUGUAUUAAUUGACACUAAUUCCCUUAAGAGUUAUUUUGUUCAUAAUCCUGAGCUUUCUUUUAAUGCUACAAAAGUUUCACUACAGCAUGUCCUGUUUUUCUUCGUUUCACCCAUUUUUGGACAGAACAUUGUGUUAACGAACUUAACUCCCCUUUCCCUCCCUUUCUAUUCCUAAAAACCAAUUCCGAGCAAAAAUAAAUAAAUCACCUACUCUUCUUUCCUCUGACUUAGAGAAGGCUUAGGAUAAAGUACUGAGGGAGGUAUGUGAAGAUGUUUGAAGACUAGAGGUGUUCCUGUUGCAUACAUUAGGGCUAUUAAGGAUAUGUAUGAUAGAGCUAAGACUCGUGUGAGGACACUAGGAGGGGACUCGGAACACUUCCCGGUUGUGAUGGGGUUGCACCAGGGGGUUAGCCCUCAGCCCAUUUCUGUUCAAAGGGAGGUACCGUGAUGCAUGUUAUUUGCAGAUGACAUUGUACUGAUUGACGAGAGGCGAGGUGGUGUAAACGUAAGGUUAGACGUUUGAAGGCAGACCCUGGAGUCUAAAGGUUUCAAGUUGAGUAGGACCAAAACAGAAGACAUAGAGUGCAAGUUCAGUGGUGCGACUCAGGUAGUGGAUGAAGACGUGAAGUUUAAUUCACAAGUCUCUAGGAGAGAGUUUCAAGUACCUUGGGUCAGCUAAUACAAGGGAAUGGAGAGAUCAACAAGGAUGUCACACAUCGUAUUGUGGCUGGAUGGAUGAAAUGGAAGCUCGUUUCCGGUGUUUAGUGUGAUAAGAAUGUGCCGCCAAGACUUAAAGGUAAGUUCUAUAGUGCAGUGGUCAGACCGAUUAUGUUAUAUGAGGCGGAGUGUUGGCCAGUCAAGAACUCUCAUGUCCAGAAGAUGAAGAUGACUGAAAUAAGGAUGUUGAGAUGGAUGUGUGAGCAUACUAGGUUAGAUAUAAUUAGAAAUGAAGUUAUCCGGGAUAAGAUGGGCCGGGACAAGGUGGGUGUGGCCCCUGUAGAGGACAAGAGGUGGGAGACGAUACUUAGAUGGUUCGGGUAUGUGAAGAGGAGAGGCACAGAUGCACCGGUAAGGACGUGUGAGAGGUUGGCCUUGGAGAGCCAACGGAGAAGUAGAGGCAGGCUGAAAAGUAUUGGGAAGAGGUGAUUAGGCAAGAUAUGGCGUUGCUCCAACUUACUGAGGGCAUGUCCAUGGAUAGGAAGGUGUGGAGUUUGAGAAUAAAGGUAAAAGGUUAGGUAGCCGAGCGAUGUCCUUGUUUGUUACAGUAGCUCUAGUACAUCACUUGGUGUCUUUCGUGUAUUUUUGUCUUCCCAGACUUCUGUCAUUACUUGUUACCUUCGCUUGGGUUUUCCGAUUGCAUUACCUUGUGUUAGUUUGUAUUUUCGCUUGGCUUUCCGAUUGGUUUGCUUGUUAUUGUCCCUUCCCUUUUAUCUUUCCUGAGCCAAUGGUCUAUCGGAAACAGUCUCUCCACCUUCUUAAAGGUAGAGAUAAGGUCUGCAUACACACUACCCUCCCCAAACCCCACUUGUGGGACUACACUGGGUAUGUUGUUGUUGUUGUUGAUGAUGUACUCUUCUUUCCUCUCAUUUCUAAAUAUCUUUCAAUCCUAAAGUUCUAUUAGUACUUUGCCUCCUAAAUUAUAUGUUGAAGACCUUUCCAUUUCAACUUAUUUCAUCAUUUUGGAGCCCAGAAGUCAAGUUUUCAUUUGAAUUAGUUAAUAGUUGAGUAAUUCUAAAUGUUUGUUGUCAUUUCAUAUAGUUUAUAGUUACGCUAAUGAAAUAGUUGACUUACUUUUUUAUUGUUAAAAAAGUAAACUUGUUUNNNNNNNNNNNNNNNNNNNNNNNNNNNNNNNNNNNNNNNNNNNNNNNNNNNNNNNNNNNNNNNNNNNNNNNNNNNNNNNNNNNNNNNNNNNNNNNNNNNNNNNNNNNNNNNNNNNNNNNNNNNNNNNNNNNNNNNNNNNNNNNNNNNNNNNNNNNNNNNNNNNNNNNNNNNNNNNNNNNNNNNNNNNNNNNNNNNNNNNNNNNNNNNNNNNNNNNNNNNNNNNNNNNNNNNNNNNNNNNNNNNNNNNNNNNNNNNNNNNNNNNNNNNNNNNNNNNNNNNNNNNNNNNNNNNNNNNNNNNNNNNNNNNNNNNNNNNNNNNNNNNNNNNNNNNNNNNNNNNNNNNNNNNNNNNNNNNNNNNNNNNNNNNNNNNNNNNNNNNNNNNNNNNNNNNNNNNNNNNNNNNNNNNNNNNNNNNNNNNNNNNNNNNNNNNNNNNNNNNNNNNNNNNNNNNNNNNNNNNNNNNNNNNNNNNNNNNNNNNNNNNNNNNNNNNNNNNNNNNNNNNNNNNNNNNNNNNNNNNNNNNNNNNNNNNNNNNNNNNNNNNNNNNNNNNNNNNNNNNNNNNNNNNNNNNNNNNNNNNNNNNNNNNNNNNNNNNNNNNNNNNNNNNNNNNNNNNNNNNNNNNNNNNNNNNNNNNNNNNNNNNNNNNNNNNNNNNNNNNNNNNNNNNNNNNNNNNNNNNNNNNNNNNNNNNNNNNNNNNNNNNNNCUUAAACUCCGUGCCCAGUCAAAUGGGUUCACAUAAAUUGAAACGGAGGGAGUAGUUGAGUAAUUCUAAAUGUUUGCUGUCAUUUCAUAUAGUUUAUAGUUACGCGAAUGAAAUAGUUGACUUGCUUUUUUAUUGUUAAAAAAGUAAACUUGUUUCAUUUCUCAUUUCUCAUUUUUUAUUGCUUUAGGCAAUCCCUAGGAUAACCACCAAUUUCCCUAAAAAAGCUACUGAUAUGCAAGAAAUUAAGGGUUAAACUAUCAGCCACCUUACUAGGAAGUGCCACUAGAUAGCUGGUAGCAUUUUCAGUUUUCAAAAUAGCAGAUGACACAGAGAUAUCUGCUCUAGAUCCUCCAUAAGAAGGUUAUAUCUGUAAGUGCUAACAGAAAGGACACUCAGAUUAUUUGAGGUUACUGAUAUUCCAAUCAAAAUUAUGAGGCAUUCAAGACCGUGAGCAUAAUCCUUACAAUGUCUUUACUAUCAUCCCUCACAUCAAGGCGUAUAAGUAUCAAGCAGCAUUCAGUAUCUCUUAUAUCUUAUGAUUAGAAGUAUUAGCAUGGACUUCUAAAGCAUACUACAUUUUGCAAAAUAUACUGCAGAGAAUCAUGCAAUUUACUGAAGGAUUCUGUAGAAGUGUUUACACUAGAUAAACUCAGAAACCACUCAAUGUUGGGAGUGAAAAUCCAAUAAUAAGCCCAUCUCAAAAAUGGUGUUAUAGAUUUAUGCUAAAGCCCAAACCCUCAAGCUGUUUAGCAUAAAAAAAGAAAAAAAAAAAGAUGCGAGAAGCAACAGUUGUUAGAAAUGGGAUGUAUGUCUAAAUCAUAGUCAGUCAGGUAUCAAUUUUUCUGUUGAAGUCGCAUGUUUGUUAACAGUUUAUUUAUGCACUAUAGACAAAUGAUGGGUGAACAGCUUUCUGGUCUGAGCGUCAAAGAUUUACAGAACUUGGAGAACCAACUGGAAAUGAGUCUCCGUGGUGUUCGUGUAAGAAAGGUACGAAACUUCCAGAUCCAUCAAAUGUGUACUAUCUUAUAUGAACUAAGAAAGAACUAACUCAACCUCUCAUUUCUACAGGAUGAAAUUCUGAUUGAUGAGAUACAAGAACUAAACCGAAAGGUCAAUCAACAUAAAUGCAGUGACUUAUUUUCAAUUUGUUCUAAAAAGGAUAACUUUUAAAGAAGCUAAAUUAACUUUUUUCCUUGCAGGGAAACCUCAUCCAUCAAGAAAACAUGGAACUAUAUAAGAAGGUAAACCUAAUUCGUCAAGAAAAUAUGGAAUUGUAUAAGAAGGUAUCUAUGUACAUCACUAAGAGCUUUCACUGCGCUUCAAGAACAAUUAUUUCCUUUCGUAUUCAUAUACCAAAUAAAAAUGUUUCACCAUUCUACUUAGAACUCUAGCAAAUUGUUUCUACAUUUUGUGUUAAACUUCAGGUUUAUGGAAAUAGAGAUGCAAAUGGAGUGAGCGGAAAUUCCCUUGCUCCGAACAGUUUAAGCAUUAAUGAAGACCCCCACGCUCCUGUACAUCUCCAGCUUAGCCAGCCACAGCAACAAAACUAUGACACAUCAGGAACUACCGAAUUGGGGUAAUUUCUUAUUCAUAUACUUCAUCUGGAAGCACAAGGGUAGCUCACUACCUUGAUCAUUGACUAUCAUCUAACUGGAACAUGCUGCAGGCUACAGCUGCAUUAGCGGGAAAACCAGACUCGUAAGAGUUUUGAGUUCUCAUGUUGAAGAAGCAGCCCGUGCUUACAAAGCUAUGUUUUAAUUAGUAAUGGUAGUAGUGGUAUAGGACCAGGGAUGUCAGGAAAAAUCUUCCGUUUCAUAUGGUUAAUGUCAGCAAGUUUGACAAGUGUGAGGUAAUCCAUAGCACAGCUACUUAAGUCAAAAUAACAACAAAUAAAAGAAUACAUUGGCACAGUAUCUCUAAGUUCUUCAUCUUUCUCGACACUUGAUGCUUAUGAUGUGUAUGCAUAUAUGCAUAUAAAACAGGAGCAAGAGCGAAGAAAUGUAAGCAGAAAAGGUUUUACAAAACAGUAGCUCCUCAUAGAAAUUCCUUGAGAAACACACCACAUGCAAACAGUACAGAUCUGAGCUAAGCAACUUAAUACGUUAAGACAUACCUCAAAGUUGCAUCAAUAUGCUUUGCAUGCAAUAGGCUUCAGCAAGGACAAACUAAGUUCAUUACACACCAAUGUCAAAUUUCAGCAUUCAACUGGAAAAGAAAAUUACACAAUACGAAUUUAUAUUAGUAAUGCUCUUCCCGGGAAUUUCAGAAUGAAUGAUCUUGAGCUUGAAGACUGAAUAUGUAUAGAAAGAAUUAUAUCAGGAAACAAUAUAUGAAACAUAUUUCACAAUUUUGAGUACUACAUUCUUUGCUGCCAAAUACAGUAAGUGCUUUUUUUUUUUAAAUAAGGAAUAUAGUAAGUGCUUCUUAAACAAGUUAUUUCUGGAUCACAAGGAUACCAUUGCUAAACCGACACGAAUGGCAUGCCCAAUCAACAACAAUUUCUAUACUACAAAAGACAAAGUCUCACCAAAUUAUCUAUUUGUACAGCAAUGGAUUGCACACUUAAAUUAACAAGAAAGCAUUCAUGCUUAGGUCAUGAACUGUCUCAUCAUAAAGUUCAUCUCAGGCAGAAGUCUUCUGUAUUACUUCAGGAAAUACACAUAGGCAGAACACAGUCAUCUAAAAAGGUGUAGAGUCUUAACCACAAAAGACUAUUCAACUGCUAUCUGGAUGUAGUUUACAUGACGUGAAUGAAGGAAUAUUGGGUAGUGAAUAAUACUAGGGAAUUGAAAAAAAGGCAAAAACUUCACGGAGCUUAUCAAAGUUUAGUGUGUAGGUACUACAUAUUGACAAGGUAAAGGAAUUAAAACUAGAAAUUUGAAUUUCUCUUCAAACAGCAAAACUGCAAGCAUGCAAUGUUACCAAAGAAUAUGAUCCCACCUGCUCGGGAAAUUCCAGAAAAUUGUGUAAAAUAAACAAAAAGGAGAAGUUUCUUCUUAGUUUUUAGUGGAAUAAUCAGCACCGCUGAGCAUCCUUUACAAUGCCAAUACCAACAAUGGUUGGAAAACUUAUUACAACCAAAGCUCAAUAAUGGCAGCAGCAGCAAUUUCAAACACUGAGAAUACAAAACAUAAUUAAACAAUCUCUCUUAGUCAAAGAUUCUCAGUUCAAGACAACUAGAAACAAAAGAGGUGUAGAUAAGGUUUCAUAUUGGCUUAGCACUUCGAUAAAAAUGAAGACAGCUAGCGUAGUAAGGAUCAUAAAGAUGCAGAAUCGAACAAAUUCAGAGGAAACUGACACGACUCAAGGAAAAAGAAUGGACCAUCUAGUGUUACUGCAGUAUCUCAACUAAAUAACACUUUACAUCAAUGUAGCAACAAGAUUAAGAAUUCCUUGACAGGCCGGACAAGGAUAGCCCUUGUACAGAGCAAGGAUCUAUACACCAUAUUUCAGUAAGAUGGCAUGUUUCUCUCUUGGAGAUGCCAAUAUUGAGGUUCUUUCAAAUUGUCCUUUUUUAGUUAUAUAUAGUAAGCUAAGUUAAGCCACUUGAAUCCUUUAUUUUCAGUUCUAUCAUGGUUUAAUUGAAGGUCAUCAUGAAAAUUUUAGUCAUCAUGAGAAUUUUAGCAACAUAACAAAUGCGCAAUCUUAUUUAGAGGGUCUAAGUAAAUAAAACUACAGAAAGGUAAAUAUACUAGUAUGCACUGUUACGACCAUAGCAUUAAUAUGUUAUCCUGUUAACAGGACAGGCAAGGAAAUAGUGUAGUAACCUUAUUCCUGAACUUCAUUUGUAGUGCCUAAAGUUUAAGUUUGAGGCGCCAUUAUAAUUGAGUAUGAGGUCAAAUCACCAAGCUUUGUUUCCCCUUUCUUUAAGAGCUCAGAAUUUUUUUAAACUUUAUAUAUGUAUUAACCCACUUCAACCAUUCCAAAAAAUUGGCAUUACUCAAGGUAGGUGAACUAGAGACCGUAAGCUAGCCCAGCUUAUUACUUCCCAAAACUUAACGCUUAUUGUGAACGAGCUCUCUAUUUCACAGAAAAGGAGAUUGGCAGAAAAAGGAAGGGAGUGAAGUACAAUUGGGGAGGAGUUGGGACUUGAACCAUCUUGAUAUAAGAGGCACAGACUCAAACAAAUAUGAGAGGCAGAUAUAUACUCUACAAAAAGAAAAGAAAAUGUAUUAUGGUGAUAUGUUGGUAAGAGAGUACGAAUACAAGUGGCGAAGCUAGGAUUUCCGCCACGGGGAUUCAAAAAACAAAAAAGUAGGCAUGCAGAGAGGCCAAGGGGAUUCAAUACCUAAUAUAUUUACAUAAAAAUUUUGACCUUAUAUAUGCAGUGUAAUUUUCCGGCAAAGGGAACCCCCUUCCGCCACCCUAGCUCCGCCCAUGCAUUGAUGCACGCACAUUUGUUCAAAAGCAUAUAAACAAACAAUGUAUAGCAAUAGCAUUAUGAUCUUGUCAUCUUGAUGUCUAUCAUAACCAUUUUAUUUAUUCUUGAAUCAUAUUUUCACAGUUAAGACAUGACAUCUAUUGUAUUGAAAAUGUGGUAAAAAGUCAUUUUUGUUGCAUUAAACAAAGCAACUGUAACUGAGUUAUAUCAGUAAAAAAUGUGUCUAAUUUAUUUCUUCUAUCCCUCAAAAACCUAUUACUUCCUCUAUCACAUUUUUCUUUUUCCCUUUUCCUUUUUUUGGAAAAAGGGCCACUUUUAUUAUUUUGGGAGUUCUUUGACCACAACCACCCUUUUUUAAACCUUUCAAAUAUUUUGAAUUAUUAACUUUUGUGACCUAUGGUACCUUUUAUGCAGUUUCCAACUAUGUAAAUUUUAUUUCAAAAACUUGAAGAAUCCAUGUUUAAAUCCACACCAAAAAUUAGGUACUUUAGCCGUUGUACUGUAAAACAGAGGAAUUAUUCAAUUAAAAUCACUAGGAACCUGUAUGAUGCACUUUAUUCAAGGAUAUGAUUAAACGAAUGCACUAAAGAUUUCCAUCACAUCCAGGACUAUCUAUGGAAUGUAAUCCGGACCAGCUCAAAUAGGACUAAGUACUAACUGCCUUGUCAUUUACCAAAAUGCUAAUAAAUCCCACUAGCCACCAAAUGUAUGGUAGAAAUCCAUUUCAAAAUAAGACUACGUUUAACGAAAGGAAAAUAUGACAGUUCAACAUAAUCAGGACCAAAAAGAACUGUCCAAUGAAAAAGAAAAAAUAGCACAUCAAAUCAAAGCUCUAAUCCUAUAAAGAUAAGGAGAAAGAAUACCAUGCAAUACCCAUAUAACUAUAUCAUUUACACGAUGGAAAGGCUAUAAGAACUAGAUAAUAAGCUGCAUUUAGUCCCAGGUAGUUUGACAGAAGGGGAACCAACCAUACAAUAGGAUCUCAUUUAGUUGCUCUAUGUUAUCUUCCUUACCAACUAGACUUAUUUCACACUCCUUCAUGUCUAUCUUCAGACUCAAAGCUACCUAGAUAAUUACGUGCUUUUCAAGUAGCGGAGUUGAUGCGCCUCGGGGUCAUAAUAUGCAAGAGUACUGUCCGCAAAAGAAGAUGAAACAUCCCUACAUUGGUCCAGCCUUCCAUGCUAGCUACAAGGAUCUUAGAUAACCCCCAAUCACAACUCUAUUUGUAGCUUUGAUGAGCAAUUCUUGAACAGCAACAACAGCCCCCCAAACGUCCAACAGUAAGAACUCCCUCUCCCACUGACUGCCUCUUCUCUCCCUAUGUUGCUAAAAUCCACUCUUUUUAAUUUAGAGUUUUAUGUCCACAUUAUCAUCAUUCAAUAACUCCUCUUACUUCCUUUUUCUCCAUAUUCUACCUAUUUCACCUUUAUUGUGUCCAUAAAAUUCCUCCUCCGACUAGCAAUUGCUAACAGAUAAAAAGAAUUUAUGUUGCAAUCACCCUUCUUCAACCACAAUAUCCUCAAAUUUUAUCUCCAUUUAAUGCUUGGGUGACUGUCAUGUUAGCUAAUUACUCUUUUACCUCAUACUUCCUAAUUCAUCCCUCUUAAUUAAGCCCCCUCUUGCUUUCCUCUCCAAUUGUCCCAAUUCAUUCAUCAGUUCCCUUGUUAUAUUUUUAUCCUCUAAAGUACUUCUCCAGUCCAUCUUAAAUAAUUUGUUAGCCGCUUCAACUUCUUCGCCAUACAAAAAGAGGAGCCCUUUGGAUAUGGUACUCCCUCCAUCCAGCCAGCACUGACCGAUUCUAAUUGUUAGGAAGGGCACUCCUUAUUCUGCUACAAUCUACAAAAUCAAUAUAGGGUUUAAUAUUAGCAGAGAAGAAGCAAUUUGGAUAAAUAUCAGUAGCAUCCCCUCCCAGACUGUUGGAUGAGAAACUUGUCGAGCCUUGAUUGACUCUUCAGUUGUGGAUCAGAUAAAUUAACAGCUGUCAUGGGAAAGUCAACAAAUGGGAGAGAGUUGAUUACAUCGUGAAUUUACCAUUGCCCAAAGGAAUGGCAUACCACCUCUUUCUUUCCUUUUAAAACAUUAAUGUUCUAGCCAGUUCGCAUGCACUCGACUAAUCCAUCAGGUAACUUCCAUUCUGUCAUCUCCCAUAAGCACAUGUAUCGGAGAAUAAUGACCUACUAUAUUUGCCUAUGUUGGGAUUUAAACGCUGGCCUCACAUUCCUCUCUUUCCUCCAGGAGUCUUAUUGCACUGCAAUCCCGAGCUAUCUCACAUUACUCCAUCGUAGCAUCACCAAUGAGAUCUCCUCUCAAAACUCCAUUUUGACCCCUCACUUGCCGACCCAUCAAUUUCACUCGACUAAACUAUCCACACUUUCAAAGAUCACAAUAAUUGUGGAAUCUCCUUCAUCACAUCUCGAAACUUCAACAUCGACAUGUCUUAUAACACCACAAUCUCUUCUUAUCUCCUCCUAAUUUAUAAGCAUAUCAUUUUCACUUCUCACUCUUAUGUUUUCACACACUUAUGAUAAUUGACUCUGGUAUUUUUUUUCAUUUUUAUUUCUUGCAAGCACGCUAAUCAUACAUUUCUCCUUUAACCCCACCUUGAUAAUGGCCCUUAUACUUUGAGGCAUUCACUCUUCUCACCCCACUCUAUCUAUCUCUUCCUUCUCCUAUUAGCCCUUCCCUUCAUCCCACAUGGAUCCAUAACUUAUAUUUUUAUAAUUAGCAUUAAUAACUUAUACUUCUUGGAUCACAACUUAUAUUGCAUCUAAAUACUUUACUCUCUUUAAUUUUUUUUCAUUUGCCCCACUCAAUUAUCUCAUACGCUCCUCAACUACUCAUUUAUGUUUUCGUAGGCUCAUGUCAAAUACUUCCUCCUUUUCAACCAUAGAGCUUAGGAAAGAAAAGAAGAUUUUUGAAACUUCCAAUCGUAAAUAUGUCAUAACAUUUGUGUGGCUAUAAUACUUUUGAAACUUUUGAUCUUAAAUAUGCCGGAAUAUUUUUUUGGCUACAAAAGCUUCUUAGAAAGGGUAAAAUGAGAAGUCACAUUUAAUUUAGAAAGAGGUAAGUCUUUUUGGAAUGACUAAAAAGAAAAUAGGAUAACAUAAAUUGGAUCGGAGAGAAUAUGAGUUUAUUGGUCUCUCCUCGAACUGUAAAAUGAAAACCCUAAUUUUCUAUUAAAAAAAAUCCUUAAUUUAUGUUAGUACAUGUGUUUAAAUACAAAAAAGUAGGUUAGGUAGCCAAGCCAUUUCACGAGGAAAAUCGCUUUGAAUAUGAUCUCUAAACAAUUCUAGAGGAACAAAGCUAGUUAACGAUAAAACAUUAUUUUCCUAGAGUAAUGGGUAAAAAUUAACAUGGUGUGACUAGAUUUUAAUUGGAUUGCCAAGUGGUAUUUCAGUUCAACUUCUACCGUAGGCCAUUAUACUGGUAAAAUGGUCAAUUUCUUGUUGAUAGUGUUUAGCUAUCUGUAUUUUAAAUGAUGUAGCAUGGAUACACUUUAUAUCAAUAACACCAAAAAUUAUGAUAACAUUAACAGGAAGGCAAAACGUAUUGCAGAUCAUAACACAGUUCCCAGGAGAAGCCAUAAGACAGCGGCACUAAGAGUACAUCACACAGGUAGGAAGCAUAUUUCACACGCCAUAAGGUAAAAGUUACUACUAGUAUCUAUUUCUUGUGAUGAAUUAGUGCCAAAAGAGAAAAAAUACAGCAGAAACCAAAAAAAAAAAGGGUACAUGCAAUAACAAAUAUGGAUCCAUCACAGAUUCGACCGAGAAACAUUAAAGUGAUUCUUUCUAUGAAAUACUAAAGCGAAUUAAUUAGCAACAGUACAUCAAAUGUGACAUUAAAGCCAACAUAAGAUGCUUAUGGACCUCGUAAAGAAACGGAACUCCAAUAACUCGGCAAAGAAAAGCUUUGUGCAAAGAAGAAAGAAGAAACUAAUUGAAACAUUUAUUUAAUUUAAAUAUGCAAUAAAUAUGAUAGAAACAGCAUUACGAUUUACGCACCUGAAAAACGAAGCAACGGCAUUUCCGCAAUGCUGGGAGUGAUUACAUAUUGUAUCUUCUAAAAACUUAUGAUCUGAGAAAAGUUCCAGAAGAAAAUUGAAAAAACAAAACGAAAAACGAUCCCGAUCAGCAAGUUGAACUAAAUUAUACUCCUAUGAUGAAAAGAAAACAUGAAACGUAUAGCAAAAGUAUCGCAAUACGUAGUCAGUCUAUAAGCAAAGGUGAAAAUUGCGUUUAGCAUAUGAUAUUAAAAAAGAUUUUUUCUAUAUUUCUUAGAAACAAAACAUAAAAGCGAUGAAUGAACCACCGCCAUUAAUGGCCAAAAAAAUUGCAAUUUCAUAGUGUUGUGAGUGAUCGAAAAGUUAAUCAGACAAUUUGAGGAGAAGAUGAAUGAAGAUGCACUGAGAAUUGAAAGAAAAAUAAGAGUAAUUUCAAUGGCUUUUUCAGCAGAAAGAGAAACGGGAGAAUAGAUACCUACCAGAUAAGUUUAUGGAGACGGAAAGAGAGGAGAGAACAAUGAAUAGGAAGGGAAUGAAAAAUAUCUGCGUUAAGCCGGAGUAGAGAGUGGGGCAGGGGCUUGAGAAAUUGGGGGUGGGGUUGGGGGGGGGGGUGCCCCCACUAGAUUUGGUUUGGGUAAUUUUGAUUCUCUGGGUACUGCCAAACUGGUGAUUAUUUUAUUGAGAUGAGAAAUCCGUGUUCUUGUGCUUCUCCGAAUCUCUGGGGACCUGCUGCUGUUUUACUGUGAGUCUAUGAGUAUUAGGUGAGAGUAUUAAUUUUAUUUGAAUCUAAUUUUUAUAUACAUUUAACAAUUUACUCAAAAAAUUGUAAUUAUAAAUAUAGACUGCUAAAACAGAAAAGAAAACAAAUAAAGUGUAUAUUUUUAAAAAUAGCAUAUUAACUUAAUUCAUCUUAAUUUUUAUUUGAGUUGUUUUCCACGGAUAGCAUAAAAAUUAUGAAAUCAAGUCAAUUAAAGACCAAUUGUAUGUAAGUGUUAUAUAUUAUGUGAAACAUUUAGCAGCUUCAAUUUCUUGGCCGAGCAGAAAUUGAUCGCUCACCUCCUUCUACUAUAGUUUACAAAUUAGUACUCCAUCAGUAAUUCUAGAAAAAAUAAUUAACUUUAAGUUUUUUUAUUUUACUCUUAACGAGAUGACUUUUAGCUACAGAAAUUUCUAUCUCUUUAUUUAGACUAAAGUUUUAGAAAUCAUUUUUGUCUUUUAAACUUCGUGUCAUGUCAAACACUCUCACAUAAAUUGAGACAAACGGGUGAUGCUAGUUAAAUAGGAGAAAUUGAGAGAAAAUUCAUUCUCACCCAAUUGAGAUAAGAAACGUGUUCGUUUCUCUUUUACCUAGUUUAGAUGCCUCCCCUUUUUCUAUUCUUCUUCACUUAAACAUCAAACCUCAUCCUUCAUUCAAACUCAAACUCAAACUCGUAACAUGUACCUUAUACACAUCCUGUGUUGUAAUACUUUUAUUGUUGAACCAACGCCAUAGGACUAUGAAUCAUAACUUGUAUCUCUAAAUUUCUUUAACUCUCAACUUUUUCUAUUUAUAUCCUCUUCACGACUCACUUUCCAUCGUCAUCAUAUCAUAUUUAAACACACUUUAUUGAUGCCUCUUCAAACCAUGGAAAGAUAGCUCCAAUUUGUCCUAACCCGAAAUUUUCUUCCCUAUUGAUUUUGAUAAAUGUGCCAUUAUCUUCAUUUGCUCCUUUCAGAAUUCCCCACAUUGUUAUAGAUUAGACCACAAGUUAGUACCACAACUGAUUUUUUCGUCUCGGCAAUGCUUCCACAUGGACCCUUCUUCAUUUCUAAAAAAAAGUGAGGAUAAUUCUUAUUGUGAUAGGUUUAACAACACUAAAUGUGUCCUGAUAGUCUACUCCAACUUCUUGAUUGAAAUCCUUUGAUGCAACUCUUGCUCUGUAGCGUUCAAUGGAACCAUCAACAAUAAGUUUCAACUUGGAGUGAUCAUCUACAUCCAACAACGUGCUUAGCACCAGAGGAAGGUACCAAAGUACAAGUUAGAUGAAAGCAUUAUAAAAUGAAUGCAAUUUAUUCCUCUUGCAUAGCAUGUCUUUAAUUUGCAAUCUUACUUGCUUGAGAAAAAUAUGUAGGUUCAAGGAGGAGUGCGGGAGGCGGUAGUGAAUAUUUGGCGAUGGAGUCAUUCCCUAUAUGUGCAGCUUAACCACAUCCUCUUCCUAACUUGCCACCGUGAUGUUGAUUGAGGCUUGAGACCUUUUGAAGUUUUUAUCAACUUUUAAGGUAUUUGAAUCUCGAACAAUGAGAUCAGAUUGAGUAAAUUUCUGCUAUAUAACAUUCAUCGAUCUACUCCAAACUUAACAAGACGAGGCCAUGAAGAUCGAUAUUCCUUACUUGCCACCGUGAUGCUGAUUUAAUACUUGAUGGGACCUUUGAAGUUGCAUUAAGUUUUUAAAGUAUUAGAAUCUUGAAUGGCGAGAUAAGCUUGACUAAAGUUCUGCUAUAGAACAUUCAUCUACUCCCAACUUAUAAAUUAAGAGGGAAUAAAGAUAGAUAAGAGCGAUAGGACCUGGUCAAAAAGUGGCAGACACGUACGACUAAUCCAUCAUAAUAAGGUAAUAAACCUCUAACAAUGUAGAGAAUCAAAUCUCCAUCAGAGACUGGUUGAGUAGCUGCAGAAAGGUUAUAAUUGUAUGUUCAUUUUUUGCAGGUAAUCCACCAUGGAAGAGGUUACUUUUGGUGUUCUGCAAUUGUAUCCCGAGUUGCAUUAACCUAGCUCACACAAGAUUGAGAACAAACACUCACACAACCCACAAUCUACACAAGGAAUUCUUGUCAUCAAACGAGAAAAGAAGCCAACUUAAGAGUAGUGACAUGUUUCUUCCAUGUUAAGUAAAGUGGGUUCAAAACUACUUACGUAGUGAUUCAUCACUCGAACGCGAGGUUAGAGGUUUGGAGGAAGACCAUGGAGUUUAAAGGUUUCAAGUUGAGCAGGGCUAAGACAAAAUGCUUGGAGUGCAAGUUCAGUGGAGCGACUCAGGAAGUGGACGGAGAUAUGAAGCUUGAAUCACAAGUCAUCCCUAUGAGAGAAAUACAAAGAAAUGGGCAGAUUGACGAGGAUGUCACAUAUCGUAUUGAGGCGGGAUAAAUAUAAUAGAAGCUCGCUUCCGGUGUUUUAUGUGUUAAGAAUGUGCCAUCAAAACUUAAAGGUAAGUUUUAUAGAGCAGUGGUCAAACCGACUAUAUUGUAUGGGGCUGAGUAUUAGCCAGCCAAGAACUCCCAUGUCCAGAAGAUGAAGGUAGCAAAAAUGAGGAUGUUAAGAUAGAUGUGCGGGCAUACUAGGUUAGAUAAAAUUAGGAAUGAAGUUAUUCGUGACAACGUAGGCAUGACCCCUGUAGAGGACAAGAUGGGGGGAAGCGAAACUUAGAUGGUUCGGGGAUGUGAAAAGGAGAGUCACCUAUGCCACAGUAAGUAGAUAUGAGAGGUUGGUCUUAGAGGGCCUAUAAAAAGAGGCAGAGGUAGGCUGAAGAAGUAUUGGGGAAAAAUUAUUAAGCAAGACAUGGCGAUUCUCCAGCUUACCGAGGACAUGGCCCUGGAUAUGAAUGUUUGGAGGUUGAGAAUUAUGGUAGACGACUAGGUAGCACAGUGUUAUCCUUGCUCGUUCUAGUAGUUUUAGUAGAUUGCUUAGUGUUAGUCUUGUAUUUUCUUAUUAUUAGAUUUUGGUUAUUACUUAUUGUUCCUUUUGCUUGAGUUUUAUGAUUGGUUUGUUAGUGUUGUUGCUUGUUGUUACUCCUUCCUCUCUAUCAUUCCUGAGACGAGGGCUUGCUUAAAAUAGUCUCUCUAAGGUGUGAGUAAGAUCUACACUCUACCCUUUUCAGACCCCACUUGUGAGAUUACACUGAAUUUAUUGUUGUUAUUUUUGUCAUGUAAUGAUUGGAAGCUAAUGAAUUCAACUAAUUGCAUAUGCUUAUUGAGGAGUUCUUCCCUCGACAAAUACAAUUAUGCAUAACGACAAACAAGUUAAUUAGAGUUUGAAUUUGGAAAGAGGUUUCAAAAGGUUAAGUUACCUAUUCAUUGGCAACUACAACUUGUAUUUCAAACUAGGUAUUAUUCUUUAACUUAUCUUUAACAUCCAAGACCAGCUCUCUGAAGAAGCUACAAGUACUUACUGUAUAAUUUAUGAAGCAUUUGGUUGGUGCUAUAAGUGCAUUGGUGGGAAAAAAGUUAAUGACGCGUGGAACAUCAGCAAGGUGACAAGUGGCAGAUCCAAUUUAGUAAAUUAAAAGAAUUGAAAAUGCACGAGCGGAAUACCCCCGAUGUUUUGUCGGAAAAGGUAUCGGACUUGACAACUGGAAAAGAAAAAAUAGGUACGGAAUGGAUGAAGACCAUAAAGAGGGAAGGUUCAUGAAACUGUUAUAAAUAAGGAAGGGAAUCGGCAUUGAUCGUGGUUAUGAAAAAUCCUCGGUCAUUAAUGCCACCGUUAAGACUAUAUGUGGUAACGGUCAAUCAAGGCAAUUAAUGUCAUUAACAAGACAGAAUUAAGUAUGGGAAUCGUUAUAAUUAUGUAUCCUUAUAUAAGGAUCCGAUCCUCAUUUAUAAAAGCAUCUGAAUUUUUAUUAAUAUAUGCAAUUAGUCUUUUACUUUAUUCAAAAGGUUCAAACCGCAAUUCUGGGAGAGAUCAACGAUCUACUUUAAGUUCUCUUUCCUUGUCUAUUAUUUCUAUUAUUCUUUUUAGGCCAAAUACAUAUACAACCCCUUAAACUUGGCUCCAGUUUCCAUUUAGACACUUUAACUAUGUCAAAUACCUAUUGAACACUCCAACUUAAUUUCAAGUGUACCUAUUAAACACUUCAUGUGACGUGGCAUAAUAUGUGAUUUUCACUCAAAGUUGGGCGCGUGAAUAAGAAAUAUAACAUUUGUUUUUUUUUUCAAACAUUUUUUUUUAUUCUCUGUCUUUCUCUUUCAUCGUCUCUAUCACUAAUAUCCCUUCAGAUUUUCCUUUUCUUAAUUUCUUCUCUGGAUCUACUUACGGAUUCAUCCCACUUUGAACAUUGAUUAACUUGUUAUUUCACUUCAAAUUUGAUAAACUUACAUGCCAAAGAAGAAGUGUAAACCUAAAAAUGAUUUAUCGAGAGAGACCGAAAAAACCUUGAAAUCCAGAAAAAAAAAAAUCUAGCAAUUUCGGAUAGAUACCACGAGAGAAACUCAACAAUUUCAGAAAUCAACAGAGAGAAAUCCAUCAAGAAAAAUCCAGUAAUUUCAGACAAUAACCAAGCAAAAUCGACUCGCUUAAUUUACAAAGAGAAUCCAACAAGAAAAGUACAACAAUGUCAAAUAUCAGCCAAGCAAACCCAACAAGACAAAGUAGUAAUUUCAGACAUCAACCAGGCGAAUUCGAUUUUGCUGAGAGAAAUCCAGCAAUUUCAGAGAUUAAACAUGAAAAAUUGACUUUAUUUUGUAGCUAUAUACAUGGAGAUUAACCCAACGAUUUCGCCGGCAUCGACUUUUCCGUUAGAUGUUAGAAUUUAUCGCCAAGUAGCGAAUUUACAAACAUGACAAAUUUUCAACCAAGAAACAAUAAUAUGCUUUUUGUUUGGACAUAGCUAAAGAGAGGAAGCGAUAGAUAAGAGGAGGAAAGACAUGAAUGGAGCUACGGGGAAGAGAUAGCUUUAGAAAGAUGGGUGGAGCAGGGAGAGGGGGGGGGGAGGUGAAGAUAAAACCAAAAGGGGUGAAAAUAAAUUUUUUUGGAAUAUUUAGCCUUAAAAAAAAAAAUCGAAAGUCAAAAUGGCAUAUGUCACUUUUUCAUUCGAUCUAUUGCCACAUCAUCCGAAAGUGAACAAUAAGCACUUAAUUAUUUACACAGGGUAAAGAAGAUGUAUUUAAUAGGUACACUUGAAAUUAAAUUGGAGUGUUCGAUAGGUACUAGCCAUAGUUAAAGUAUCAAAAUAAAAAUUGGAGUUAAGUUUAAGGGGCCGUACAAGUAUUUGGCCUUCUUUUUAUUCUUCAAAUUACCAAGAAAGUGAAGUAAUUUUAGUUAUCAGUAACCCGAUUUCUUCUUGAUAUUAAUUUUGACCGAGAAAUCUAUUUUUGGGUUAAACAAAUUGGUUCCUUGCCGGGAAUCUGAUAAUAUGUUCACUUUCCAAACUUCAUUUUUAGCAACAAAAUACGUCUACGGCUAACAAGAACAACCAGCUGAACCAACAAGGUGGAACUCUACCACAUCACACACCCACAGCUACUCCUCAGCACUCACGAGAAAGUUCACCUGAAAGGUGUGCUUCGCGCACUGAUGGACAACAUGGAGAUGACCAGACUGUUGAGCAGGAUGCUUUGAAGCAGUUGAUUGCACAACACGUGAACGAAGCACUACAGGCUUUUGCUAGAGGAUUACCUAAUGCAGCACAAACUCUACCACCAGUUAAUACCACCUUGGAAAAUUCGCGUUCAGGACUCGAUAAUUUUGGAAGUGGAGAGAUGCCCAAUGAAUCUCGCGAUGGAGGAUCAGGUACAUCAAAUAAUUCCCAUUUACAAAGUUUAGUACUAACUUUGCAGAAACAGUUAAAGGGCAAAAUGUGCGCAUAGAACAAAUACCUAGCGUGCCUCCUUUGAUCAAAGAUGUGGAUAUUGACAAGUAUUCACAACAACCAUUGAAGCCAAGUGCAGCACCUUUGCUAAUUCCCGAAAAGUUUAUAAUGCCAGAUAUUCCUAAAUAUGACAGGACAUCCAACCCACGAGAUCAUGUUACUGCAUUCACUAUAGGCGUGAACGACGAUGAUUUAACUAAGCAGGAGAUUGAAUCAGUUUUGGUUAAGAAAUUUGGCAAAACUCUCACAAAAGGGGCGUUAACAUGGUACUCCCUCUUACCUGAAAACUCCAUUGAUUCUUUUGCUGAGCUUGCAGAUUCAUUUAUAAAGGCGCAUUCGGAGGCUCCGAAAGUUGGAAAAAGGAUAGAGGAUAUCUUCAAAGUUAAACAAGGGAGUACAGAAUUGCUCAAAGAAUUCGUUGAUAGAUUCCAACGUGAGAGAAUGAUGCUACCGCGAGUACCUGAUAACUGGGCGGCUAUGGCAUUUGCAAGCAACUUGAACGAGAAAAGUUCAGAAGCCACGAGGAGGCUGAAAGAAAGUUUGCGGGAGUUUCCUGCAACGACUUGGAACAAUGUGUACAAUUGAUACAUCACGAAGCUAUGAAUAGAAGAAGAUACGGUUACACAACCAAGGGUAGAUGAAAGACCAGGAGCAAGACGCUCGGAAUCAGAGAGAAGAUCUGGUAAAAAUAGGUACGAGCCUUACAUGGGGCCUGCAGGGAGAGAUUCCUGAACUAAACAAGAGAAUGCACAAUUUGAUUCAAGAUCAAGGCAAAAAGAGGUGAGUUCUUCUUCCAGAUUCAAAAAGGAGUGAGAUGUUGGAUGCAACGACUCUGGUACUCAAACAAGAAUAGGAGAUUAUAGCUUUAACGCCAGCACCUCUGAAUUGGUGGUUGUUCUAAGAGGAAUGUGAGAUAAGAUACGAUGGCCAAAAGAGAUGAGAUCAGAUCCAAACAAAAGAAACCCAAAUUUCUGGUGCGAGUUUCACAAUGACCAUGGCCAUAGAACAACAGAUUGCAGGCUUUUGCAAGAGGAAGUUGAAUAUCUACUGAAGCAAGGUUAUCUUACUAAUUUGUUAAGUGAGAAAGGGAGACAAUCAUAAAUGAAAAACAGGCAAGAACCCCCAAAGCCUCCAUCACCAAAGAGAACGGUAAACAUCAUAACCGGAGGAGAUGAAGUCAAUGAGGUAACGUACAUGGUUGCAAAAAAGACAUCAAAGGUCACUGUCACUCAUGGAAAAUUAGUUCACCAAGUCUUGGAAGGUGACAGUAUAAUGUUUGAUGACGAAGAUGCAAAUGGCUUGAUGAUUCCUCACAACGAUGCACCGAUAAUAUCUUUACUUGUACAUGAUACUAAUAUAAAAUGGGUUUUGAUUGACCCAGGUAGCUCAGUAAUAUUAUUUUGCCGAGAGUGGUAAAUGAAAUGCAAGCUAAUAAUAAGGUCAUACCAAAGGCACGAUCUUUAUCUAGAUUUGAUAAUUCAAGCUUCGUUACGAAAGGAGAAGUUGUAUUGGCUACGUUUGCAAAAUGAGUCAUCAAAGAUACAAAUCCAGGUAAUAGACGCGAACAUGGCCUAUAAUAUAAUUUUGGGAAGGCCAUGGAUUCAUGAUAUGGAUGUUGUCCAGUCCACGUUGCAUCAAGUUAUCAAAUUCCCUUCACAGUGGGGAAUCCGACAAAUCCGGGGAGAUCAACGGGCUUCACGGAGCAUUAAUUCAGUGGUGAUUACAAAUAUAACAGCCAAUGAUGCAGACGCGAAAUAGCAAUUAUAGAAUUUAGUUGGGGACGCUUCUAUCCAAACCUCAAUUGAAAACACACAUGGUCACACUGAUGUGGAUUCAAGACCUGAUGUGAUUCAAGAACCAGAGGAAAACGAGAACAUCAAAACAACCACAGAGGAGCUCGAAGCAGUGAUAUUAUUUCUCCACUGGCCAGAUAGAAAAGUUUACAUCGGAGCAAAUUUGAGCCCAGAAAUGAAAGCUAAGUUAAUUAAAAUUUUGCGUGCUAAUGUAGAUUGCUUUGCUUGGUCGCAUUCAGAUAUGACAAGUAUACCACCAGAGGUGAUGACUCAUAAGUUAAAUAAGGAUCUGUUACAUCCACCUGUUAAGCAAAAGAAAAGAAAGCAAGGGGCCUUCAAAAAUCAAGUGAUCUAGGAUGAGGUACAAAAACUUCUGAAAAUCGGUUCAAUACGAGAGGUAAAGUACCAUGACUGGUUAGCUAAUACUGUUGUGGUUCCAAACAAGAAUAAAAAAUGGCGAGUCUGUGUAGAUUAUACUGAUUUAAAUAAGGAUUGUCCUAAAGAUUCAUUUCCUUUACCACACACAGACCAAUUAAAUGAUUCUAUCGCAGUUCAUGAGCUUUUAAGUUUUUUAGACGCUUAUUCUGGUUAUAAUCAGAUAAAAAUGGACCCUUUAGAUGAGGAAAAAACCUCAUUUAUUAUAGAUGGGGGACUUAUUGCUAUAAAGUCAUGCCAUUUGGUUUGAAAAAUGUUGGAGGCACAUAUCAAAAAUUGGUGACCAAAAUGUUUCAAGAACACCUGGAAAAAACUAUGGAGGUCUACAUAGACGAUAUGUUGGUCAAGUCAACACAGGCAGGGGAUUAUUUUUAACAUUUGGCUGAGACCUUUGAAAUUCUCCGCAAGUACAACAUGGAGUUGAAUCCGGAAAAGUGCGCUUUUAGCGUAGCUUCAGGCAAAUUUUUAGGUUUUCUUGUUUCUAAUAGGGGUAUUGAAGUAAAUUCACACAGAUCAAAGCUAUUGAAGAAAUACCAGAUGUACUCACGAGCAAGAAAAAAGUAGAGAGAUUAACAGGUAGAAUAGCGACUCUGGGAAGGUUUAUAUUCAAGUCAUUGGAAAAGUAUUUUAAGUUCUUUUCAGUAUUGAAAAAGCAAAAUCAGAUUAAAUGGACUAACGAGUGUCAACAAGCUUUGAAGGACUUAAAAGCGUAUCUAUCAAAUCCACCGCUGUUAGCAAAACCAAAAGAUGGAGAGAGAUUGUUCAUCUACCUUGCAGUGUCAGAAGUAGCGGUAAGCGCGGUAUUGGUACGUGGAGAUAAAGGUAAACAAUCUCUGAUUUAUUAUGUUAGUAAGUCUUUAUUAGAUGCUGAGACACGAUAUCCUCACCUAGAAAAACUUGCUUUAGCUUUAAUUAUGGCUUCAAGGAAGUUACGACCUUACUUUUAUUGUCAUCCUAUUUCUGUUAUAACCGCUUUUCCACUAAGAAAUAUAUUGCAUAAACAAGAAUUAUCAGAAAGGUUAGCUAAAUGGUCAAUAGAACUCAGUGAAUAUGAUAUUAUAUAUCAGCCUAGAACCGCUAUAAAAUCUCAGGGGUUAGCAGAUUUUGUAGCAGAUUUUAGCUCAAGUUUAGUUCCUGAAGCAGAAAACGAGCUACGAAUAUUUACUGGAGCUAAUCCGGGGACUUGGACCUUGUUUACUGACGGUUCCUCAAAUGUUAAAGGAGCAAGUUUGGGGAUUGUUUUAAUUCCACCCUCGGGAAAAAUAAUAAGACCUGCGGUAAAAUAUUACCCAAUUACUAACAGUGAGGCAGAGUAUGAAGUUAUGAUUGUAGGCUUGGAACUAGCACGGGAGCUUAGUAUUGAACAAAUCGUGAUCAAAAGUGACUCGCAACUAGUAGUCAAUCAAAUGCAAGGGACUUAUGUGGCAAGAGAGACACGAAUGCAGCAGUACCUCAAAAAUGCACGAGAAUUGCUUAAGUAGUUCCAGUAAUGGAAAGCUGUACAAAUAUCCAAGGAGGAAAAUGCAGAAGCAGAUGCAUUGGCAAAUCUCGCAUCUGUCGCUGAUGCAACAAAUGCAGAAAAUGUUGUUGUGGUACAUUUAUUUCAUUCAACCCUCGACCAAACCAAGAGUGAGGUAAAUUUCAAUAAUUUAACUUAGGAUUGGAGAAAUGAAUUUGUGAACUUUUUGCAGUAUGAUAUUUUGCCCGAGAAUAAAAGAAAAUCCCGAUUGUUACGGUUAAAGCUGCUCAGUAUUGCUUAAUUUGUCGGAACUUAUAUCGCAAAAUAUUUGGUGGACCUUUAGCACGAUGCCUUGGACCAUCACAAAAGGAAUAUGUGAUGGGAGAAGUACACGAGGGGCAUUAUGGCAAUCAUGUCGGGGGAGGGGGGGGGAGAAGGGAGAUCAUUGGCGAAGACAUUAAUAAAAGCGGGAUACUAUUGGCCAAAAAUGGAAGAGGAAGCAGAAAACUUUGUAGCAACGUGCGAUAAAUGCCAACAAUACGCUAAUAAUAUGCAUCGACCGGCGAAAUUCUUGCAUUCAAUUAUAUCACCAUGGCCCUUCAUGAAAUGGGAGAUGGAUAUUGUAUGACCAUUGCCUUAAGCUAAGGAAAAGGUAUGGUUUUUGUUAAUUCUAACAGAUUAUUUCUCCAAAUUGGUAGAAGCAGGUGCCUUUAAAAAGGAAGUUAUGGAUUUCAUUUGGAGAAAUAUAAUAUGUCAGUUUAGAGUCCCAAAGGAGGUCGUUUGUGAUAAUGGGCCGCAAUUCAUAGGUACGAAAGUUACUGAUUUUUUCCAAAGCUGGCAGAUUAAACAGAUCACUUCGGCAUCUUACCACACAGUAACUAACGACAAGCUGAGUCGACGAAUAAGGUUAUCAUCAACAACUUAAAAAAGCGAUUGGAAGAGUUAAAAGGCAAAUGGACAGAAGUACUACCAUGUAUAUUAUGGGCUUACAAAACAACAGCAAAAACUAGCACGGAGAAACACCAUUUUCACUUGUAUAUAGAAUGGAGGCUCUAAUUCCAGUUAAGAUAGGCGAACCGAGCACGAGGUAUAUAUGUACAAAUGAGGCAACAAAUGAAGAAGAGUUGCGAGUAAAUUUGGAUUUGACGGAAGAAAGAAAAGAAGCAACAUUAAUUCGGAUGGCGGCUCAAAAGCAAAUGAUUGAACGUUACUAUAACAGGAAGGCAAACCUGAGGCAUUUCAAGAUUGGGGACUUCGUCCUCAAAAAGGUAUUCCGGUCAACAAAAGCGGCAAACGCAUGAAAGUUGAGUCCAAAUUGGGAAGGCCCGUAUAGAGUUAAAGGCAUUGCUGGGAAAGGAGCGUACGAAUUGGAAACCAUGGACGGCAAGGUGUUACCUUCUCAUUGGAAUGCAGUCCAUUUGAAGAAGUAUUACUUCUAAAAGAGGUUAAUACCCACGUUCAGGCAUCAUGCAAGUCCGAUUUUAUUUUGUUCAUUUAAGUUUUACUAACUAUUUUAGAUGAUAGGCAAAAAGCUGGCCCGUACCAAAUGAUGAUAUUAGACCUGAAAGACACGCGGAUUAAUGAAUUAUUCCUGGUCUAGGUUACAACAUUUCUGAUGGCAGAAAGUUUUAUGCAGUCAUCAUCUAAACAAUUACCUCCGAGUCCCGUAUGUAUUUCCUUUUUUAGGGAAAGGACCAAAAGUAAGGAGUUGAUCCAGUGUUCGGGAUUUCAUACUUCAAUACUCCAACACUGGGGGUACUAUGCAUAUGGAAGGAUACACAAGGAAAGGAGAUGUACACCACAAAAGCAUAGUUUAGCCAGAGUUAAAACCUUGAAGAAACCCUUGAAGAAAAUAUCAAGAUUUCAAAAGAGGCGUUCAAGCUCGUAGAAAAAAUGGGCAGUAAAGAGUUAAAGAAGCUACAAAAUACUCUCACGAGCUUCUCGGUUAAGGUCAUAAAUUUAAUCACGGAAAAAUAUACCCAUAUUUGUAAACAUGCUACAAAGAAAGCAGUUAUGAGAAUGUUGUAUAAGAUUAUUUAUUUGGAAGUUCAAAAAAAAAAAAAAAAGACUUCCUCAAAUUACUUCAUGUUUCAUAUCAUUGCACCAAUAUGAAGAUGAGACGUCAUCUUCAUCAGUGUUGUUAAUAUAAAAAGGCCCUCUUUUAGAAAAACUCGUACAUAUUAAAAGACGCGAUCUACUAAAGCAUUCUUAAUGCAAGUACAAACUCAAAAACUUAAAUAGCAGAAAGCAUAAUAUGCAUCAAAGAAAUAUUUAUAUCAUUACCCCAAAGGGGGAGCGGGAGAAAAUAUUCCAAAAACCAAAAAGGAAAAAGAGUUUCAACAAAAACCAAAAGAAGGAUAAAUCUAGAGGUGGGCAUAUUUCGGUCCGAACUGAAGAAAUCGGUUGAACCGAAAAUAUUUUUAUUUCGGUUUCGGUUAUUCGGUUUUUUUGGUCGGUUUCAGUUUAAAAUUUUAAAAUUUCAGUUUUUCGGUUCGAUUUUCGGUUAUUAAUUUAUUUGGUUCGGUUAACCGAAAAAUCGAAUUAUUAGCAUAUAGAUUCUUUAAGUUAUAUAUAGGCUAAGCCCAUAGGUAAUAAUAUAAGCCCAAUUUUGAAGUCCAUCAAAAACCCAAUCCAAACUUACCAUUUUAUUCUAACUUACCGAAAUUUUGAAAGAAAAUCAAUAAAUUUGACAGUCCAAUUAUUACAUAGAGAGAGCCCAAUAUGAUAAUGUUCAAACCGACAAUCGAUUAGAAAUAAACCGAACCGAAAUUAGAAAAUCGAACUGAACCGAACUUAUUUCAGUUCGGUUUCGGUUACUACUUUUACAAAACCGAAAACUAAAUAAUCGAACUGAAUUUCUGUAAACCGAACCGAACCGAAUCGACCGAACGCCUACCCCUAGGUAAAUCACUUUCACAAAAGCCAAAGGAGAAAUUAAGGAGCAUCAUCUACGGGAGAAGAGGGGCCAGCUUGAGAAGAAGAAGGUUGAAUGCCAGCUUCACCAGGAGUUAGUCCAUCUCCAUCACCUUUAGAACCUUCAUCUUCAGGUGUUGAGAAGCUUUGACAUUGCUGAGUUUGAUCAAUCGCUUCCUUAGCCUUUGCGAUUUCAGCAUUAAGGUCAAAAUCCUCCUGGCUAGCUUCGGUCAGGGUCUCAAAGCGGGUGUUCAAGAAAGCUCAGCUAACAUCAAAAGUUAACUUAUCUUCAAGGGCCUCAUAAUCCUUCUCCCACUGCUCAAUUUCAGCUUUCAACUCUUCUUUUUCUGCUUCUGAGGCUUCAUAAGAUGCCUUUAAAGGAGCAAGAGAACUCUCAAGGAAUUGAAUCUUGUCUGAAGAGGCACGAAGAUCUUCUUGAGUCUGGGUGAGCAUUUGUACAGCGUAUACCUCUUUUUGGUUAAGGAGCUAUUUCAAGCUUCUUAUUUCUUCAGUUGCCUUGGAGUGUUGUUCAGCUAAGGAGGAUUCCAACCUGUCCUUGUCUUUUUCAAUUUGAUUGGAGGAAGCUUUUAAAAUAGCUAGGUCGGCGGUGAUUAUUCUCAGUUUUUGUUCUAAAGCUCCUUUUUUCUCAGCAAGAACGUCUUUCUCCAGUUGAAGGCUUUCGAAUUGCUCUUUCCAAUUAUCAGCCUCGGUACGCAACUCGGUCACAUGUUGAUCUGUCCAAGAAAUCCUUCUCACUCCGUACCUGUCAAAUUGUUCUAUAAAAAGAUAGAAGAAGGGGGUUUACGAACAUGAAAGGAAGGAGAGGAAAGUAAAGAGUAAAGAUACACCUUGAGGGAAGAAUGGAUGAUGUCAUUCAACAGGGUCAAGGAACUGUGAGACUCGAGCUUUCCUUUCCACUGGACCAAGCAAUGGUUUUAACCACACAUCAGCUUGUCCAGACUUUUUCAAUAGAUUUCCACCAUCGGAGACUUCAAUUAGAACUUUCUUCAUACCACGUCUACCGCUAGAAGGCUCAGCUUCUUCAUGAGAAGCAAUAACGGGGGAAACUACUAGGGUGACCGUAGGCGGAGAAACAUGGGGAUUAACACCGAGAGGAACUGGCGUCAUCGGAAGAGAGGCAAGUGGCAGCUCUUCUGAGACAGUACCAAAUUCUUCUUCAACCUCAAAACCUUGGGCUAAGAACCUGUCAAUAGGACUUGAGGGGGGGGGGGGUUAUAAAAAUUACCAGCAUCUUCAUUAGAGAUAUCCAAAUGGACAUUCUCUGGCUCAUCAAUGAGACUAAAAGGAAUUGAACUUGGAGGGAGAUUUCGAGAGACAUGGGCUUCAUCAUCUGAAACCACGCGCCUUCUGACUUUUGGUUUCCUCACUAAGGAACCUUCUUCGAUAUCCUUUUCAUCUUCAGACUCAUGGGCUUCAGCAUUCUUCCUCUUGAAGGAAGAUACGCUUAAAAUAUGUUCUUGUGCAGAGCUUAUAGAAAGCCUCGUAGAAGGAACAGAAGUGGGGCUCAUGCCACGAAUGGCAAACCAUAAAAAAGGAGAAAGUAUAUGUAUUAAAAGAAAAAAACAACCAAAGAGAAGGGAAACCAUGGGAAUACAAAUUUACCGCGAGUUUUCAUUUUCCAUCCAAAUUUUUGUGAAAGAAACUUCCAUGAUCUCUUAUCCAUGGGAGCAGCGAUCAUCAUUUUUUCUCCCGAAUCACGAAAGUUAGGAAUUUCUUCAAAGACUUCCACGGUUGCUGAAAAAUGAACAUACACUAAUGUGAAGAAAAUAAAAACGUCAAGAAAAGUAAGGAAAUAAGAGGAAAAACACUUACGUGCAAAGUUUCACUUUUCAGGGAAAGGCAUGUUUUCAUCACCCACUAACCCACGAGUGGGGGCGGCAAUAAAUCGAGCAUACCAGCCACGGUCACGGUCAUUCUCGGUGCUGACUAAAACCCCUUUACUUCUAGCCACAAGGGAAAAGACACCUUCACGAAAGAGUUUCGAAGAAUAUAAGUGGAGCAAGUGACGGAAGGUAAAAGGGGCGAAAACUAAACCCGACAAGUAGCAAAGGCAAGCAACUGCCCUCCACACGAUGGGACCUAUUUGACUGAGGCAAACAUUUAAGUAGCGGCAGUACUCAAUAGUCACGGGAUCAAUGGGAGGAGUAAACCCUAAAGUAAAAGGAUAGGUGUAAAUAAAGGAAUAACCUACAUGGUAAGAAGUGAUUUUUUGGUUUGCACUAGGAGUCAUCACUAGAAAGUCAGGUUUCCAAUGGCAUUCACGUCGAACCAAGAAAAGAGGGCCUGGGGUAAUCAAGCUAGGGUAAUAAUCAUUAGGGUUAAGAUAAGCUAUAGAAAAAACCUAUUUUUUCAUAGCUUCACGAUCUGAUACAAAAGAGAACUUCUGUGGGACAAUCUCAGAAACAGUAGGUUCUCGCAUGGGUUUGUUCUAAUCCUUUCCUCUAGAAGAAGAUCUAGGAGUUAUGGGUGUUCUAACCCUAGAAGAUGAUGUCUUAGCAGUACUACUUUGAGGGAUAGAACUACGAGUUGUCAACGAACCUAAAUUUCGUAGUCUACCACCUUUCCUACUUCUGGUAGGGGUUGUAGAGGGAGGAAGUUCAUCAACGAUCACCACUUUACGUGGUUCUGACAACGAAGAAGGAUUCGAUGAACGAGAAGACAUCUUUAAUGGAUGAAACACAAGGAAAAGAGAUGAAUAACUACAAGAGAAGUUAGGGAGAUGAAUGCAAGGAAGAAGGAAGGGACUUUCGAAAUUGAGCGUGAUGAAGUAUUUAUAGGAGAAAGCAACCGUCAUCAGAGUUGCUCAUUAUGAACUGUCAUCAUGGAACCGUCACUUCAUGACUGGUGCAGCCGCAGGACAACCCUAAAAAGGUGCUACAAACUGCAAAGCCAAUUACAAUGGGACACGUGUCUUGAGCAUUAAAUGGACAUGACGUACGUCUCAUUGAUUCUGAAGACGACAUUAUGAUAAUCGGGAAAAGACGGCAAGAAAUUCUCGCCAUAAAUACUUACCAUUUCCCGAGUAUUCAGUUGAGAAUAUUCAAAAAGUGGGGAGACUAUCUGUAUUGAUGGGAAAAAAGGUAUGACACAUGGAUCAUCAGCAAGGUGACAAGUGGCAGAUCUAGUUAAGUAAAUUAAAAGAAUUGAAAAGGCACGAGCGGAAUACCCCCGGUGUUUUGUUAGAAAAGGUACCGGACGUGACAGUUGGAAAAGAAGAAAUAGGUACGGAAUGAAUGAAGACCAUAAAGAGGGAAGGUUCAUGAAACUGUUAUAAAUAAGAAAGAGAAUCGGCAUUGAUCGUGGUUAUGAAGAAUCCUCAAUCAUUAAUGCCACUGUUACAAUUAUAUGUGGUAACGGACAAUCAAGGUAAUUAAUGUCAUUAACAAGCCAGAAUUAAGUAUGAAAACUGCUAUAAUUAUGUAUGCUUAUAUAAGGACAUGAUCCUCUUUUGUAAAGGCAUUUGGAUUUUUAUUAAUAUAUACAAUUAGUCUUUUACUUUAUUCAAAAGGUUCAAACCGCAAUUCUGGGAGAGAUUAACUAUCUACUUUAAGUUCUCUUUCCUUGUCUAUUAUUUUCAUUAUUCUUUUUAUUCUUCAAAUUACCAAGAAAGUGAGAUAAUUUUGAUUAUCAGUAACCCGAUUUCUUCUUUAUCUUAACUUUGACCGAGAAAUCUAUUUUUGGGUUAAACAAUAAGAAAAAAGAAAAUACAUGUAUAAACUCUAUGUAGUGUUUGAUUGGUGAUAUUAAAUACGGAUAAGAAUAUUUGUGUUAGCAAUGGGAAUAUGUAAAAAAAAUUAAUAUAAAAGCUAGUAGAGAGCAUAAACGAGGUGGAUAAGAGAGCCAAUAAGGAGUGAUAUAAGAAGGCUAAUAAGGAGGCAAAAUUAGCGGUCACUGCGGCUAGGACUGUGGCGUUUGUAUGACGAGCUUGGGGAGAGAGGCGGGGAUAAGAAGUUGUACAAGCUGACCAAAGUGAAAUAAAGGAAGGCCCGUGAUCUGGAUCAAGUGAAGUGCAUAAAAGUCGAGGAGGGUAGAGUGUUGAUGACUGAGGCUAAGAUUAGGCGGAGAUGGCAGUCAUACUUCCAUAAACUCUUGAAUGAUGGGGGAUAUGGAUAUUGUGUUGGGUGAUCUGGAGCAUGCAGUGAGUCAUCAGGACUUUGGGCACUGUAGGCACAUAAAUAUGGGGGAGGUCGAGGGGGCAAUGCGUAGGAUGAACAAGGGUAGAGCGAUCGGGCCAGACCAGAUCCCGGUAAAGUUCUGGAAGAGCGUGAGUAAGGCAUGCUUAGAAUGAUUCUCUAAGUUGUUCAACGUUAUUUUUAGGACGAAGCGGAUGCGUGAAAGAAUGGAGGUGGAGUAUGAUGAUUCUGUUGUACAAGAAUAAGGAUAAUAUCCAUAAUUGCAAUAACUAUAGGGUACCAAGCUGCUAAGUCAUACAAUAAAAGUUUGGGAGAGGGUGGUGGAAGGGAGAGUGAAGAAGAGUGUGUUUAUUUCCGAGAACCAGUUCAAUUUUAUGUCGGGUCGUUCGAUUAUGGAAGCCAUUCAUAUGCUGAGGAAAUUGAUGGAGCAGUAUAGGACAAUGAAGAAGGACUUACAUAUGGAGUACAUAGACUUAGAGAAAGCAUAUGACAAAGUCUCGACAAUGGUUCUAUGGAGGUGUUUAGAGGCUAAAGGUGUGCCUAUAGCCUAUAUUAAAGUGAUUAAAGACAUGUAUGCUGGAGCUAAGACACGGGUAAGAACAACGGCAGGAGACUCAGAACACUUCCCAAUUGUGAUGGGGUUGCAUAAGGGAUCAACCCUUAGCCCGUUUUUAUUUUCAUUAGCGAUGGAUGCAUUGGCACGACAUAUUCAAGGGGAGGUGCCAUGGUAUAUGUUAUUUGCGUAUGAUAUAGUUCUGAUUGAUGAGACAUGAGGAGGUAUUGACGACAGACUGAAGGUUUAGAGACAGACUCUUGAGUCUAAAGAGUUCAAAAUGAGUAGGAUCAAGAUGGAGUAUUUGGAGUGCAAGUUCAGCGAUGUUAUCCAGGAAGCGGAUAUAGGUGUGAGGCUUGAUACACAAGUCAUACCUAGGAGAGGAAGUUUCAAGUACCUUGGAUCUAUAAUACAAAGUAACGGGGAGAUUGUCACGCAUAGUAUCGGAGCAGGAUGGAUGAAGUGGAUGCUUGCUUCCGGUGUCUUAUGCGAUAAGAAUAUGCCGCUGAGACUUAAAGGUAAGUUAUACAAGAUAGUAAUUAAAUAUACUAUGAUGUAUGGAGCAGAGUGUUGGCAUGUCAAGAACUCUCAUAUCCAAAAGAUGAAAGUAGCUGAGAUAGGAUGUUAAGGUGGAUGUGUGGACGUACUAGGUUAGAUAAGAUUAAGAAUGAAGUUAUUCGGGAUAGGAUGGGAGUGGCCCUUGUGGAGGAUAAGAUGCGGGAGGCGAGAUUGAGAUGAUUCAGGCAUGUUAAGAGGAGAAGCAUAAAAGCCCCAGUUAGAAGGUGUGAGAGGUUAGCCUUGGUGGGUAUCAGGAGGGGUAGAGGUAGGCCUAAGAAAUCUUUGGGAGAAGUGAUUAGGCGGGACAUGGCGCAACUAGAGCUGAUUGAGGACAUGGCCCUAAAUAGAAGGGUGUGAAGGUAGAAUAUUAGGGUAUAAGGCUAGUAGGUAGACGAGCGUUUAUCUAUGUCUUACUCAGUUCGCUAGCAUUAGUGUUAGUAUGAUAUCCUUUUAUUCAUAGAUUAUUAUUAUUACCUGGAGUUUAUCUGCUUUCUUGGCUUUAGUCUUAUUUUUGUCUUGUUGUUGUUCCUACUUGUAGCCAUUAAUUUUUUUUCAUACAUUCUUCAGCCAAGGGUCUAUCGGAAACAGCCUCUCUGUCCUUCCAAAGUAGGACUAAGGUUGCGUAUAUCUUACCCUCCCUAAAUUCCACUUGUGGGAAAUCACUGGGUUUGUUGUUGUUGUUGGUUUUCUUUGAGCUACUGUGAUGAACCAAAAGGACGAUGCAAAUAAACAAAGAAAAUUAAAGUGUACAUGCCCUAACAAAUAUGGAGCCACCACAGAUUCGACUAAGCUAAACUUAUUAACAACGGUAUUUACAAAGUUUAACUUAAGAUGCUUCUGGUGUCUAGCGUCGAAAAAAGAAUGGGACUCCAACUUGGCAAGAUAACCUUUGUGAACCAAAAGUAUUUUAGGACAAAAGACUAACUGAAGCCUAGAUUUCAGUAUAAAAGAAAUAGCAUAGUGUACCUGCGAAAACAAGCAACGGCUUUUCCUCAAUGCUGGAUCGUGAUUACAUGGCAUGUCUUUCAAAAACUUAUGAUCUGAAAAUUCCGGUAGGAAAACGAAAAAGCAAUUAACAUAUGAUUCCCAUCAACAAGUUGUACUAAAUUAUGUGAUGGAAGAAAAAUUAAAUAUGACACAAAAGUAUCGAAAACCGAAGUCAGUACAAAGAAAAAGUGAGAAUAUAAUUAAGCCAAAAAGGAAAUUCAUACUAUGACACAAUAAGAUUUAGUUCUCUUUCUGUGACUCGCUAAAGAACCAAACAGAUAAGCGGUGAAUGAAUCAAUGCCAUUAAACGCAAGAACAAGCACUGAGAUUUCAUAAAAUAAAAUUAAAAAAAAACCUUUAGAAAAAGCAUCGAAAAUAUUUAUCGGACAAUCCGAUUCAAGAAGAGGAGAUGAAUGAACUAUUGAUAGAGAGAGAGAGAGAGAGAGAGAUUAAUGUUGCAUUUAAUGCAAAAAGGGAGAAAACAUAAUUGAAUACGUACCUGUAACACAAGUUCAAUAGAGAUGGAAAGAGAUGAGAGAAGGGGAAUGAAAUAGAGCGAAGAGCAAGAAAAAUAUCUGCGUGGAGAAUAGAGGACAUUAUAUAGGGAAAGUACCCCCCCCCC